AAAUGCAAAAAACACCCAUCACGAUAUCCAGAAUGAAAUUUUGGGUAUUAUGGCAGAUAUGGUCAGACAUCAAAUAAGUGCAGAAAUCAAGGAGGCUGGAUAUUUUGCCGUCAUGGUGGAUGAAAGUAAAGACUUGAAUAAAAAGGAGCAAAUAUCAGUGGUGGUGCGGUAUUUGAAUAACAAGACAGUGUUUGAAGAAUUCUUGCACUUCACUCCAGCGGAAUAAGAACGCGUGUCUGGGUCAGUGUUAUGACGGGGCGGCAGUGAUGUCCGGGUGCAAGAGAGGUUCAGGAAAGAGGUCCCGCGGGCAUUAUAUAUACACUGCCAUGCUCACAGACUUAACCUUGUUUUAGUGGAUGUUGUGAGCAAUGUACCACAAGCGGGUGAGUUUUUUGAAACUGUGCAGCUGCUUUACAACUUCUGUUCAAACUCUAUUGCCCACGAUCACAACAACAGACGGAUUGUGCUUCUCUGAAAACAUUAAUGUUACAGUGAGGUUCAAUGAAAGUUCAUCUUCGUGUCUUCUGGACUCAAUAUUGAAUUCUACCAUUUCAGGCCAAGUUGCUAGCUCGACGUUGAACUAAGCAUAGAUGGAAAGCGCGCAAGGAGUUGGCCACAUUUGAUCCUAGGACCAUUCGCCUCGAAGUCUGGUGAGGAUGCCACGACACCACCGGCUGGCUUAAUUGGCUCAAGUGCAUUAAAGAAACUCAGUGAGCAUAUCAUAUUUAUAUUCAUAUUCCUAUAUGGAAGCUUAAAGUUGACAUCUGGGAGAUGGCUGUCUCCUUACGGGAGUAAAUGGUGCUAGUUGAAUAGAGAAUAUAAACAAUUCAGUAAAUAGUUCUACAA